AUGAUAAUUAAUAGUUUAUGUUAUACUGUUGGUACGAUAAAAGCUGUGCAAACUGGUCGGUCCCUCCCACCCAGAGCAUUGUUUGCUUGCAGAGCUCUAGGGUGUAAGAUUCACCAUGCAGGUGCCUUGGACUUCUCCACAAGAAUGAUCCUACCAUUCCACUCAGUCUCGUCGCAAGCUCGGAUUGCUGCAUCAGCGUCCUCAUCCUUCUCCAGGGAUAAAAACCCAAAGCCUCGAGAAUCUCCAGUUCGUUUAUCUCGGACAACCCGCACCCUUGUUACACGUCCAAACUUUGCAAAUUUCUUCUCCAACUCUCGCUCUGUGGUGGCAUAG
rnacentral:rRNA from 1 species